UUCAAGUGCAACACACAGCUCACAAUUCCUCUGCAAUUUCAAUAAACAUCACCGCGCAAAUUUGGAAAUUGGAAUGCACAAUUGCUGGCCGGGGAUUGGUUGACUUGUUGAUUCAUUCGAAAGAUCUGAAUCGCCAUUGGAACGAAAGAAAGAAAGAUCUUCAAGCGGUUGGUUGAGGAUACGAAGCGAAGCGAGGGCUUGCAGUUGUUCAUUAGAGGAAACCAAAAUGGAGUCGGAAACUGUGAAGUCAUCUCCAUCUCAGCCUGAUAAGGGUUCUGACGUUGGAUCACCACCAACCAGUGAUUUUGAGAGAGAGCAUCCGGCACAUGGUUCCUCAUCUACACUGUCUACCACAGCCUUAUCUUGGGCUAGAAGUUUAAAAUUUUCACAAAAACAACAGGAUUCACCAUCUAUAAAUGAUGAGAAGCUCACGUUUUCACGCCUUGCAAGUGGACUAGGACUGCAGUUUCCCAAUAAAGCACCCAAUGACAGCAACGACUCUGCCCCUGCACAAUCAAGUGUUGUGGAAUCAUUGACAAAAGGAAUAGUUGAUACAUCUUUAAAUGCUGUAAAGGCUGUGCAAGUUAAGGCAAGGCACAUUGUCUCACAAAAUAAGCGGAGAUACCAGGAGGGAGGAUUUGAUUUAGAUAUGACAUAUAUCACUGAAAAUAUUAUUGCCAUGGGAUUCCCUGCUGGUGACUUAAGUUCUGGACUAUUUGGUUAUUUUGAGGGAUUGUAUAGGAAUCAUAUGGAGGAAGUGAUCAAGUUUUUUGAGACUCAUCACAAGGGAAAAUACAAAGUGUACAACCUUUGUUCUGAGAGAUUAUAUGAUGCUUCACUAUUUGAGGGGAAGGUUGCAUCAUUUCCAUUCGAUGAUCACAACUGCCCUCCUAUUCAUCUCAUAAAAUUGUUUUGUCAAAGUGCUUACUCCUGGUUGAAGGAGGAUAUAGUAAAUGUUGUAGUUGUACACUGUAAAGCUGGUAAAGCAAGGACAGGAUUGAUGAUAUGCAGUCUUCUUCUGUUCUUAAAGUUUUUCCCAACUGCUGAGGAGUGCAUCGAUUACUAUAAUCAGAAAAGAUGCGUAGAUGGGAAGGGUCUUAUUCUUCCAAGCCAGAUUAGAUAUGUGAAAUAUUUUGAACGAAUCUUGACACAAUUCAAUGGCGAAACUCCCCCUGGACGUAGGUGCAUGCUAAGAGGAUUUCGUCUUCAUAAUUGCCCAUAUUGGGUUAGGCCUGCCAUUACAAUUUCAAAUCAUAAUGGACUUUUGUUUUCAACAAAAAAGCAUCCAAAAACCAAGAAUCUCAUGCCCGAAGAUUUCUGGAUCCGUGCCAACAAAAAGGGCAUCGUAGUUUUUGCUCUACCAGGAGAACCUGGUCUGACUGAAUUGAUAGGGGACUUCAAAAUUCAUUUUCACGACGGCCACGGGGAUUUUUAUUGUUGGCUGAAUACUACAAUGAUGGAAAAUCGAGUGAUUUUAGAUGCUUCAGGACUUGAUGGCUUCGACAAUAGAAAACUACCUUCACCCGGAUUUCAAGUCGAAAUUGUGAUGAUCGACUAUGGUGGAACGAUCCCGGCCAAGACCAAAUCAGACAGCGACACUAAAGGCGCAGAAGGAAAGCCGGGAGAUUCUUCUUCUAGCAGCCAAAGGAAGGCCGACUCUCAAGCAAACAAGGCCUCAAGCAAACCAGACAACGAAGAUGACGUAUUCUCCGACAGCGAAGGGGAAGAAACCGAUCCAUCAAGAAGCUCGACAAGCCACGCCAUCUCUAUUUCAGGACCCGCCCGACACUCAGAAUCCAGCUCCAAAACCGACAGCGUCUCGACCAUAACACAUCAGACCGAACAGCCCGCAAAUUCCCAGCAGCAGCCUAUACAUGGGCAUGAAAUGAAAAUCGACGAUGUUAAAAGUCCCCCGAAUCUCCCGAGCUUUGAUCCCACAGAUAUCAAGGCCAUUGCAGCAGAUGCCUCGGUUUUCAGUUUUGGAGACGACGAGGAUUAUGAAAGCGAAUGACAGGAAGUUGGGAUAUGAGGUUCUCGGUCGACUCUGACGUUUCCGGCGCCGGAGGAAUCUGCUUCUCAUAAGAUCAAAGCUCGCUGCGUAGCUAGCUGCACAUUUCCAUAAAAAUGAUGUUUUUCAAAACAAAUCCGAGAGCUUCGAUGGCUCAGAGCCCUUGUUUCCUACAAGAGAUUAUCGAAUGGUGAGGGACGAGCAAAAGAAAUACGAAAGCGAUGAAAAUAGAAUUACACGAACCUUGACUUCGAUUGUGAAUUCCCCGUGAAGAAUGCUACUCAAAUCUUUGCUAAGAACAUUGUUGGGGAUUCUGUGUACGAGCAGCUUUGCCACGUCGGAUUCCCUCACCUAAAAUUGCAAAGUGCAAUGAAAUAUAUACAUGAGUUCCAAGUAUAGUGACAAGCUUCAUUGCAGUACAUGCAUCGUCUAGACAGUUAUGAGGAUUCCCCUGCUCCCGGAGUUCAUAACCUAACAAAGCCUACCUUAUAAGAAAGAACAUAGAACAUGUCACAAUAGCUAGCUGGAAGCAUCGAGAAGGUAAUAUUAUGUCUAUUAUAGCAAUUUCCAUCUUCCGAUAUUUUUCUUGGAUAUAAAGCCUUUUGAAAUUGGACUUAAGAAAUUGAUUUAUUUAUUCAUUUUUUUGUUACCUUGUAACCGAAAAAGUGUUUUGAAAAAUUAGUGAGAUGAACACAGCUCACACCAAA